rnacentral:misc_RNA from 1 species
CAAGUGAGGCUACCGAACGCUGGAAACAGCGGUUAGGAGCUUACACCCACCCGUGUUUACAUACUAUUGUUGCUUUGGCGGGCCGUGGCCUCCACUGCGGGCUCUGCUCGUGUGUGCCCGCCAGAGGACCAAACUCUGAAUGUUAGUGUCGUCUGAGUACUAUACAAUAGUUA